rnacentral:rRNA from 1 species
GGGAUACCCGCUGAACUUAAGCAUAUCAAUAAGCGGAGGAAAAGAAACCAACAGGGAUUGCCCUAGUAACGGCGAGUGAAGCGGCAACAGCUCAAAUUUGAAAUCUGGCGCAAGCCCGAGUUGUAAUUUGUAGAGGAUGCUUCUGGGCAGCGGCCGGUCUAAGUUCCUUGGAACAGGACGUCACAGAGGGUGAGAAUCCCGUAUGUGAUCGGUUGGCACCCGCUACGUAGCUCCUUCGACGAGUCGAGUUGUUUGGGAAUGCAGCUCUAAAUGGGAGGUAAAUGCCUUCUAAAGCUAAAUACCGGCCAGAGACCGAUAGCGCACAAGUAGAGUGAUCGAAAGAUGAAAAGCACUUUGGAAAGAGAGUUAAAAAGCACGUGAAAUUGUUGAAAGGGAAGCGCAUGCAACCAGACUUGUCCGCGGUGUUCCGCCGGUCUUCUGACCGGUCUACUCGCCGCGGGCAGGCCAGCAUCAUCUGAGAGCGCCGGAUAAAGGUAGCGGGAAUGUGGCCCCUCGGGGUGUUAUAGCUCGCUACACAAUACGGCGCCUCUCGGGUGAGGUCCGCGCUUCGGCUAGGAUGCUGGCGUAAUGGUUGUAUGCGGCCCGUCUUGAAACACGGACCAAGGAGUCUACCAUCUAUGCGAGUGUUCGGGUGUCAAACCCCUACGCGCAAUGAAAGUGAACGGAGGUGGGAACCGCAAGGUGCACCAUCGACCGAUCCUGAUGUCUUCGGAUGGAUUUGAGUAAGAGCAUAGCUGGUGGGACCCGAAAGAUGGUGAACUAUGCCUGAAUAGGGUGAAGCCAGAGGAAACUCUGGUGGAGGCUCGCAGCGGUUCUGACGUGCAAAUCGAUCGUCAAAUUUGGGUAUAGGGGCGAAAGACUAAUCGAACCAUCUAGUAGCUGGUUCCUG